rnacentral:rRNA from 1 species
GGGCCUGCACAAGCAGUGGAGUAUGUGGUUUAAUUCGAUGCAACGCGCAGAACCUUACCCGGCCUUGACAUCCUGUGAAUCCCUAGGAAACUAGGGCGUGCUGCCGCAAGGUAGAACGCAGUGACAGGUGCUGCAUGGCUGUCGUCAGCUCGUGUCGUGAGAUGUUGGUUAAGUCCCGCAACGAGCGCAACCCCUAUCGUUAGUUGCCAGCAUUUAGUUGGGCACUCUAGCGAGACUGCCGGUGAUAAGCCGGAGGAAGGCGGGAUGACGUCAAGUCCUCAUGGCCCUUAUGGGCUGGGCUACACACGUGCUACAAUGGCAGUGACAGAGGGCAGCCACACCGCAAGGUGGAGCGAA